AUUUCUAGCAUUAGGAGGCGUAUGCAUGCAUCCAUACACAUACAUACGUACAUAAAUACAUACACAUGUGUGUGUACCUUUUGUUCUUAGUAGUUGCUUGAAGAAAGUUGUGUAAUUUUGAUUUUCUCUGACAUCAGAGAGAGCUGUUUUAUAAAACCUUGUUUGUGAUUCAAAAUUGCAAGAAGUUGCAAGAAGAGUCUGAGUUGUGAGGAUUUAUCCUGUUCUAGUUUGUAUGUCUCUGAUGCUCUGUUGAUUAGUUAAACCUUUCGUUGUUGCUCUUGAUGCAUAUUGUUGACUUAGAAUUUAUGAUAUAUAUGGUUUCCGGGGAAGUGAGCCUCUUGCAGAAGAAGCUAUACAAUUGAUAUCUAAUACUGGGGAUGUAGCUGUGCUAGCUCAUCCAGGGGCACUGAAAAAUCCUGUUGCCAUUAUCAGGAGGCUGAAAGAGGCUGGCCUUCAUGGGAUGGAGGUUUACACAAGUGAUGAAAACUAGCAGCAUACAGUGACGUAGCAGAUGGUUAUGGUCUUUUAAAGCUGGGAGGAUCAGAUUAUCAUGGAAGAGGUGGGCAUGGUGAAUCUGAAUUGGGAAGUGUGAACCUUCCUAUAUUGGCUGCUCAUGACUUCCUUAAGGUAGCUCAACCGAUCUGGUGUCGUGCCAUCUGAAACAUUUUAGAGAGUUAUGCCGACGAGCUUUCUGAUUUGAAUCUAGCGAAGAUUACAAGAUUUGGGAGGGGCCCAAUUUUUAAUAGGGGCUCUCCAGUGAGUUGCAGCAAGGACUUAAUUGAUUGUUGCAUGUCUUUGUGGUUGACCAAUGAAGAGAGUCAAAAUGCAGAGUUUGAAGCUAUCUCUAUUAAUCAGGGAGGAAUUCAGGUUCCUAUUGAAAGUGAAUUGUUGCGAAUUGAAUAUUCAUCUUCUUUAUCAAAUUCAUUUUCACCAUCUCAUUUUUGGCAUUUAUGCUGUCAUAUUUAACUAA